GGCUCAGGUUGUGGGCCGUUGUAACCUUCAUGUUCAGUGAUUUCCCUUUCCCAAUUUUGCAAUCCUCUCUGGUUAUAGCAGAGAGCCAGGUGCUUAUUAUACAGAGUCACUGAGAAUUGGGAUCAGGCCCCUCUCUGCUGGAUUUAGGACUGAAAAGGAAAAGGGUCUCAUUCAGUUACGGGCCAACUCUGUGUAAAGUUUGGCAAGACAACACUUGUGAGGAAAAGGUACUUGUUGGGAGAAGAGGCUUAGUACCCUGUCUGUUUCUUAUCAGCCCUCCAUGCCUCAGUCAGAGGCCACCAGGACCACAUCUUAUUGCAGGGAGAGAUCCACAGAGGCCCUGGGGGGUGGGGCAUCUCAUGGAGUGUUAGGAAGGGCUGUGUCAGGUGAUUUGGCAGGUUCAGAAAGGGGGGCUUUGCUCUGGGUUGGAUGUUUGCACUGUGGAGACAGGAGGACUGUUUGGAGCCAGUGCUGUAGUUUGUUAGGAAACACAGAUCAGCUCUGAGCCAGGGGUGAGUGAUCACUUUUGUAGUUUGGAAAGCUUUCAUGUUUUUGUCUGUUAAGAUUUGAUUCCAAGAGUGUCUUUUCUCAGUGUACCAUGGUCACAGUGGUCUUGUCUGAUGUUAGCGUCCAGCAGGAGAGCACCAGGGCCUAGACAUUUGGGCUGUUCUUCUGUUUCUCACAGCAGAUAAUGUGCAUCUUGCCAAUAUGGAAAGGGGGAUGAGAGAGCUGACAGGACUGAGAGGCAGCUCCCCUCAUUUGGCAGGCCAUGAUGCAUGUUCCCACAGGGGCACUUGGGCAUGGAGGAAAAGUAUCUGCGCCUGGACCCAGCCAGUUCUCCUGGGCUGGACAGUCUUAAUGGAAGCUGAAGGGAGAGAAGAAGAGGAGGGAACCACAAUGUGAAGACCUCACAGGACCCCUGGGCUCUUUGCUGUUCCCUCAGCAGUAUUGUGGACACUACCUGUGGAGAAGGUUGAGAGUCAUAACACUGAGCCUUAGGUCUGCUAGAUCAAGUCCUUUGAUACUUUUUCUGACCUUUCUACCUGCUCCUACCAUGGAGCAGGAACUCCAGAAACAGAGCAAUUGAGGGGCAAGAGCAGCUGAUACCCCUCUUGCCUUACUUCUAUGCCAUGAGGCAGAU
rnacentral:lncRNA from 1 species